GAUGAACGCUAGCUACAGGCUUAACACAUGCAAGUCGAGGGGAAACGAUAUUGGAAGCUUGCUUCCGAUAGGCGUCGACCGGCGCACGGGUGAGUAACGCGUAUCCAGCCUGCCCACCACUUGGGGAUAACCUUGCGAAAGUAAGACUAAUACCCAAUGAUAUCUCUAGAAGACAUCUGAAGGAGAUUAAAGAUUUAUCGGUGAUGGAUGGGGACGCGUCUGAUUAGCUUGUUGGCGGGGUAACGGCCCACCAAGGCGACGAUCAGUAGGGGUUCUGAGAGUAAGGUCCCCCACAUUGGAACUGAGACACGGUCCAAACUCCUACGGGAGGAAGCAGUGAGGAAUAUUGGUCAAUGGACGAGAGUCUGAACCAGCCAAGUAGCGUGCAGGAUGACGGCCCUAUGGGUUGUAAACUGCUUUUAUAAGGGAAUAAAGUGAGCCUCGUGAGGCUUUUUGCAUGUACCUUAUGAAUAAGGACCGGCUAAUUCCGUGCCAGCCGCCGCCGUAA
rnacentral:rRNA from 1 species